GUUUGAUUUGAAUAAUUUACGCGAAGAUGAGAGGAAAUUUCGCGAAGAUUUUCACGGUUUCGACGAGGUUCCCCCCCCGCCAACUUUCAAGAAUGGGAGUGGCAGAGGGACCACAACGGUGGAGACAUGAGGGAUUUUGAAGAGGCGACCGGACUCAAGAAUAUAUAUUGACACGGUGAGUGAAGUAUCGUGCUAUUGAUUUUUUCCAAAUGUUUUACAAUGAUUCUGUGUUCGAACAGAUUAUCAGUGCGACGAAUGAGAAUGCAGCCUACACGUGAACGAGCGAUCACAACAACAACAAAGAUCAAUCUGUGAUAUCUUCUCUGUGAUGUCAUUCUUAUAGUAGCUGUGGUUCAAUGUUCAGAUGUGCAUGAAGAGAAUUUACCUGUAAUACCUGGGAUUACCUGUGCCGUCCAAGAUGAAAAGACCACUGUGUUUUGUUUACCUUGUAUCUGUGUUUUAUUUUUGUGAUUUUUAAUACAAUUUGAGCCAAAAUUCAUUAUCUGUUUUCAUUUCUUCAGUGUUUUCAAGUUUUAUUUCACUUGUAAACACCUGUAAUUAGAAAAUAACAAAGGUUAGAGAC